GACGAACGCUGGCGGCGUGCUUAACACAUGCAAGUCGAACGGAGUGGCGAACGGGUGAGUAACACGUGGGUGACAUGCCCUGCACUUCGGGAUAAGCACGGGAAAAUGGGGCUAAUACCGGAUAGCGUGGGAUGGGCCCGCGGCCUAUCAGCUUGUUGGUGGGGUAAUGGCCUACCAAGGCGGCGACGGGUAGCCGGCCUGAGAGGGUGGACGGCCACAUUGGGACUGAGACACGGCCCAGACUCCUACGGGAGGCAGCAGUGGGGAAUAUUGCACAAUGGGCGGAAGCCUGAGGCAGCGACGCCGCGUGGGGGAUGACGGCCUUCGGGUUGUAAACUCCUUUCACCAUCGACGCGGUAGAUGGAGAAGAAGCACCGGCUAACUACGUGCCAGCAGCCGCGGUAAUUC
rnacentral:rRNA from 1 species